UUGAUUUAAACGUGAGCGUACUAUUCGAUAAUCGCAUUGUUCGAUAAACAGGGAAACGGAAAUUCGGUUCUGUUCUAAAGAAUGCCUCAAAAGUGAAUCCAUUAACAAUCAUCUGUCCGCAUUUGGGAUAUUUUACGGCAAAAUUUUAUUUGUUUCUAUAUUUAAAGAAGUAAGAUCUCACAAUUUCCCCACUGUAUAAAGGUAGUGCGAAAAAAAGGUCACAUUUAAGCGAUAUUUUCGUUCAGGAAGUAUACCUCGUAGCUUCCCUACAUUUUCAGUAAAAUUUGUUUAAUUCACAAAUAGGCAGGCACAGUAUAAUCAAGAUGCACCGGGUGGCGGUAGUUUUCAUGUUUAUGUUUGUGUGCCAACCAGUUCAAGGAUUGAAAAGAUGUCGGCCUGGGUCAAUGCUUUGUCCAGCUGCCGGUCGUUCAUUUAUUCCAACACAGGAAUUUGACAAAGACCCAUCUUAUUUCGCAACAAGAAAAGAUAAACCAAGGUCAGACCAGGUUCACUACAAUCACCAAAGGAAUGCUGUAUCGCUCUUACGGAAGCUACGCAUCACAAAAAAUAUCUAACAAUGUGUGGAAAGACCGAAACAAUAAAAAGCAUGUACAGACCUUUAAUAUGGACUGUUUCUCUUUAAUUCGAAAGAAACUAUUGCUAUUGAUUUCAAUUUAAAACCAAGAAUCCUAUUCGUUUUAAAGCUUUAUGUGCUCCUAGGAAACAGAAUGGCGCAAAGACUAAGCCACCUAUACAUACUGCGCUCAUUCAAUGAUUGGGAGCAAUAAAUUAAAUGGAAUUUAAUGAUAGUACUUUAUAGUUAUUAGUUAUGAUCUUCCUAUGUAAAGUCUAGAAUACUAUGUAUCAGAAGAUGAGAUUUCUAUGAGAAACACAUGUUUCGCUUAAUUUUUAAAUAGAAACCAUGCGUUCAUUAA